rnacentral:rRNA from 1 species
CGGGGUCUGCAACUCGACCUCGUGAAGUCGGAGUCGCUAGUAAUCGCGGAUCAGCAUUGCCGCGGUGAAUACGUUCCCGGGCCUUGUACACACCGCCCGUCACGUCACGAAAGUUGGUAACACCCGUAGCUCGUGGCCUAACCAUUUUGGGGGGAGCGGUCGAAGGUGGGGCUGGCGAUUGGGACGAAGUCGUAACAAGGUAGCCGUACCGGAAGGUGCGGCUGGAUCACCUCCUUUCUAAGGA